rnacentral:piRNA from 1 species
UGGGAGAGGAUAACUGAUUUUUCUGAGUGC